rnacentral:rRNA from 1 species
AUACAGAGGGUGCGAGCGUUAAUCGGAAUUACUGGGCGUAAAGCGCGCGUAGGCGGCUUGGUCAGUCGGAUGUGAAAGCCCCGGGCUCAACCUGGGAAUGGCAUUCGAUACUGCCAGGCCAGAGUAUGGGAGAGGGAAGUGGAAUUUCCGGUGUAGCGGUGAAAUGCGUAGAUAUCGGAAGGAACACCAGUGGCGAAGGCGACUUCCUGGCCCAAUACUGACGCUGAGGUGCGAAAGCGUGGGGAGCGAACAGGAUUAGAAACCCUAGUAGUCC